GUUUUUUAUCGGUCGUCAUGAAAAAAAACAUAAGGGGUAACACUGUUGUUUUUUAUUGGUCGUCAUGAAAAAAAACAUAAGGGGUAACACUGUCGUUUUUUAUUGGUCGUCAUGAAAAAAAACAUAAGGGGUUAUACUGUUGUUUUUUAUUGGUCGUCAUGAAAAAAAACAUGAGGGGUAACACCGUUGUUUUUUAUUGGUCGUCAUAAAAAAAAACAUAAGGGGUAACACUGUUGUUUUUUAUUGGUCGUCAUGAAAAAAAACACAAGGGUUAACACUGUCGUUUUUUAUCGGUCGUCAUGAUAAAAACAUAAGGGGUGAGACUGUUUUUUUUUAUUGUUUGUCACGAAAAAAAACAUAAGGGGUGAAAAAAAACAUAAGGGGUUAUACUGUUGUUUUUUAUUGGUCGUCAUGAAAAAAAACAUAAAGGGGGUAACACCGUUGUCUUUAUCAAAUGAAACAUGGGGGGUAACACUGUCGUUUUUAUCGAAUGAAACAUAAGGGGUAACACUGUCGUUUUUUUAUCGGUCGUCAUGAAAAAAACAUAAGGGGUAACACUGUUGUUUUUUAUUGGUCAUCAUGAAAGAAACCACAAGGGGUAAACCUGUCGUUUUUUAUUGGUCGUCAUGAAAAAACAUAAGGGGUAACACUGUCGUUUUUUUAUUGGUCGUCAUGGAAAAAAAAAAAAGGGGUAACACUGUUGUUUUUUAUUGGUCGUCAUGAAAAAAAUCAUAAGGGGUAACACUGUAGUUUUUUAUCGGUCGUCAUGAUAAAAACAUAGGGGUAACACUGUUGUUUUUUAUUGGUCGUCAUGAAAAAAAACAUAAGGGGUAACACUGUUGUUUUUUAUUGGUCGUCAUGAAAAAAAACAUAAGGGGUUACACUGUUGUUUUUUAUUGGUCGUCAUGAAAAAAAACAUAAGGGGUAACACUGUUGUUUUUUAUUGGUCGUCAUGAAAAAAAACAUAAGGGGUAACACCGUUGUUUUUUAUUGGUCGUCAUGAAAAAAAACAUAAGGGGUAACAAUGUCGUUUUUUAUCGGUCGUCAUGAAAAAAACAUAAGGGGUAACACUGUCGUUUUUUCUUUGGUCGUCAUAAAAAAAACCAUAAGGGGUAACACUGUUGUUUUUCUUUGGUCGUCAUGAAAAAAAUCAUAAGGAGUAUGAUGAGGGCUAACACUGCAGGCGGGACCUUAUUGGACCCCUGGAC
ensembl:lncRNA